UGUUGUUAGGUCGAGCUAGCUACAAAGUAGCUCUUUCUUCUCCACAGGUUGGCAUGUCUUUUCUUUAAGUCACUCCCUCCUUUCUUAUAUACAUGGUAGGACGUGUAAAUUAAGUAGUUUAUUUUGAACUAAUUAGCUUAUCGUAAACGUCGUAUAUUCAAAAACAAAAGGUACUAGUUACAUGCAUUUUUCUUGAAACAUUUUGGUGGGCUGAUUGCUUGCUCAGUUAGUAUAUAAUUUUUUUCUUCUCUGACACUUUCCUAGUAGGAUCCGAGCGUUGUGUCCAUCUCAAUAUCAAGUUCAUGCCAAAGAACAUGGCAUUAUUCAUACACGAAAUAUUUUGAUUCUACUGAUUAUAUUCAUGUUGCUCAAUUGUUUUUGCUUUUUGGUAAUUAACAGGUUUAGAAAGGAGGAAAGGAUACCACGUGAUCAAGACGUAGACAUGCCUGGUAGAGUUCCCACAUCUUGGCCGAAUUUGAUUGGCAUGAAUGUUUUCCAGGCUGUUCAAAUUAUCCGCACGGAGCGGCCCGAUCUAAGAGUUGUUCGAGUACUCCCUCCAAACGAGCAGCCAUCGCCGCCUCAACCAGGCAUGACACGUGUUAUUAUCUACAACAACAAUAAUCAGCAAGUCAUCGCCCCGGCACCAUACAUUGGCUAGCCCGCAUUACAUGGUGGGCUUUAUGUUAUAUGCCUUAAUAUUAAUAUAUAUAGAAGGCUAUAGUCAAUUAAAUAAUGUGCGUAAGGAU
rnacentral:lncRNA from 1 species